GGGCUCUGACUACGCUCUACACCCUUUGUGACAUACCUAUAACUGUUGCUUCGGCGGGCAGGGUCUCCGUGACCCUCCCGGCCUCCCGCCCCCGGGCGGGUCGGCGCCCGCCGGAGGAUAACCAAACUCUGAUUUAACGACGUUUCUUCUGAGUGGUACAAGCAAAUAAUCAAAACUUUUAACAACGGAUCUCUUGGUUCUGGCAUCGAUGAAGAACGCAGCGAAAUGCGAUAAGUAAUGUGAAUUGCAGAAUUCAGUGAAUCAUCGAAUCUUUGAACGCACAUUGCGCCCGCCAGCAUUCUGGCGGGCAUGCCUGUUCGAGCGUCAUUUCAACCCUCAAGCUCUGCUUGGUGUUGGGGCCCUACAGCUGAUGUAGGCCCUCAAAGGUAGUGGCGGACCCUCCCGGAGCCUCCUUUGCGUAGUAACUUUACGUCUCGCACUGGGAUCCGGAGGGACUCUUGCCGUAAAACCCCCAAUUUUCCAAAGGUUGACCUCGGAUCAGGUAGGAAUACCCGCUGAACUUAAGCAUAUCAA
rnacentral:rRNA from 1 species